CUUCAUAUUAAAUUAGAAGGACACAUUUUUGGUAGUUAAAAAAAAUAAAACUUUUCCAGUGACGUAUUGCAAACUGUUGUUUCACCUUGAAAAGAUAAAGGCCACAGUGCACCAGGAGUAUUAGUUGUCAGGUAGAACAUUGACAAUUAUUUCUGUCUAAAUAUGAUCAUAGUGAAAUAUUUGACGUUUAGACAUCUUGGCCUGGAGACACUUUAUCAAUACAUAUAGAAAGUGGUCUCUACAGAACUCAUGGUGUUAUAGUUUGUAGUAAUUACAGACCCUAAAAGCCUGGUGGAUAUCAUACCAGAUCUGAAACGAUCACAUCAUAAACCCUUUUCCGAAUCUAUUCUUCCACAGCAUCAGUGGCUGAUAGGUUGUAGACUCGUCACUAGACACAGUUAACAUUUACAUAUAAAAGCCGGGCCACUUUCAAGAGAGCACAAAGUUGUGGGAACAGGCGGAUAUCAACAUAGUAUGUAGAACAGUGGAGGCUGCUGAGGGGAGGACGGCUCAUAAUAAUGGCCGGAAUGGAGAAAAUGGAACGGCAUCAAACACCUGGAAACCAUGGAAACCAUAUGUUUGAUGUAUAUGACGAGCCCUCUCCAUUUAAGGUGCCACCAACCUCAGAACACACGUCUCUCUGACAUGUAGAAUAAGUAAUAAAACCAGUUAUAUUAAUAACAUUGCUAUCUGCAACUUUACACAACGUUCGCCUAUUGAAUUGGCACCUAAACUUGAUGUAAAGAGGAAUCUCUACAGUCCACAUCAAGCAAAGCAGCCAUUACACUCAGCGUUUUAGAUUCAGUGUGGCACUGCUACAGGAGUGUGAAUCACCGACCUACAACAGCACCACGGCUCAGGCACUUUGAGCGCCAGCGAGACAAAUGGAGCCUUAUUCAAUCGAACCCACUAUCCCAGAUUUCCAGGAUGAGCAAAAUAAAUACAACUCUGUUACUCGUUUGAUGUCCACUUGACAGAGUAACAAUAGAUCGGUCAAAGAGUUUUUCCUCAGCUGGUUAAGACUUGUCUUGCUAGGAGGACGAAUUCAACCUCCUUCAUUUUGGUCAGUAUUUCUCUCCUGUCCAGUCUGUAUAAAUCAUACUCCUUACUCUUUUAGCUGGACUUCCCAGCUGUGCAUGGGCCUUGACUUGGUGUUGCUUGGAAGGAAAACAUUUUAGGGCAGUUCCUCAAUGUGCAACGUGUCCCCUCUUUCCAGUCCUCUACUGUGUGUGCCCCGUGGAGAGGGGUGGUUGAUCAGCAGGCGUAGGGGGGGUCCUGGUCAGAGAGCGGGUCCCACUUGACAGGGACCAGUCUGGGGAGGUUCUAAGGAUGGGGACUGGGAUCAGUUGGAUCAUCUGUGCCGAUCUCAUUUAUCUCCUACCAAUCAGAGCAAAGGUAAAGUGUUACAUUACUACUGUAAUAAUACUACUUAGCAAAAUGUUGUAGAUAUUGUAGUGAAUUCGGGUCCAGCGAAAGUCAAGUCAACACGUUAACCGCUACGCCUAGAGGUCCAAACCUCUUGCCGAGCUCGCUAGGACUUGGGUUAAAGGUCGC
rnacentral:lncRNA from 13 species